GCACUGCUGAGGAGUCCCAUACUAGGACGAAACGGCCGUCCAGCAC
rfam:Schistosoma mattheei strain Denwood, Zambia genome assembly, scaffold: SMTD_scaffold0000679